UCUGUCUGUUUAUUGGCUCAGGAGCACUGUCACUCACUGUCAGGUAGCUGUCCCCUCUCUUGCUUGUUCUUCCUUCUCGGCCCCACCCCUUUCGCUUCUUUUUCUCCCUCUCAAUCUCUAGCCUUCUCUCUUUCCAGCCUAGCGCCUCCACCUCCGGGUCCCUGGCUCAGGUGUCACUCACGCUAUAGGCCUACUUUGGAGACGGAGAAUGGCCAGGUUGGAGUGGAUCGGAGCGGAAAGGCAGAGGAAAGAGGAGAAGGCCUCCCCACCCCGCUGCUAACAUAGCCCCUCUUCUCUACUUUGGCAACUGUGUUUCCCCGGUUUGGUUGAGCCGCAGUGUGAGCAGCUAAGUGCAGUAAGUGUGUGCGUGUGUGUAUGUGUUCGUUUGCUGGGGGAGGGGGUGUGUGGAAGAGAGAGAGAGAGAGAGAGAGAGAGAGAGAGAGAGAGAGAGAGAGAGAGAGAGAGAGAGAGAGAGAGAGAGAGAGAGAGAGAGAGAGAGAGAUGCAAAAAUGAGGAAGGAAAGGAAGGAGGAAGGAAAUCCAGCUACCUCUCUCUGGUUACACACGCUGUCUCUGCAGAUCCGUGGAUUGAAGGUUUAGGAAAGGAAAUGCAGGAGGUCAAGUAUGGAGGAUCUACAGUGAUAUAGGAUUUGAUGAAACCUGAAAAAUGUUAUGACCCUAUGAUGGAGGACUUUACCAUAUUAACAAGGAAAUUCUUCAACCUGGACUCAAUAUUGUAUUUCAUUCAUGAUAAGGAAACAAAUAUGAUGACCACAGAGAAACAUGGAAAGAUCUUCAUCAAUUGAUGCAGAGUGAAGAAGACAGUGUACACAAUGACUUCAAACAAUGUAAAUGGAAAGAACAAUCAUAUACAAUAAAAGUAACAAAAUUAACAAGAUGAAACAUGACUCAAAAUAAGAGAUAUGAGAGGCUACCCACAGCCCUUCUUUUCAUGCAGAUGGGAGGUCCACAAGUAUUUUACAUUACACUUUUUCAACAUAAUGAUUGGUUGUGCUGACUUUAUCUUCUUAUCGUUAUUUGGAGGGGGUGGUUCUUUAAAAAUAUUAAUUGUUAUAUGGGAUAACCUUCUCAGAAAUAGAGGGGAGAUGCUAGGGGAAAUAAUGAGAAUGUAAAUGAAAGAUAUUAAACAUUUUUUUCAAAGGAAACUUACUUGAGAAUGCCAUAGCUAAAAUUCAGAGCUUUUAAGUUAAAGAAAAAUGCCACAAGUAGGCAUUAUGAAAGAGCUAGUACACCAUCAAAAUAAGCAAUAUUCUGCCUAAACUUCUAUAAAAGGGAGAAAAUUCUGGAAUAUUUUGUGUGUGUGUGUGUGUGUGUGUAUGUGUGUGUGUAGGUUUGCAACUAAGUAUCUUGUAACUUAUCUUACAAAGGUCCAUAUAUAUCUAUGGAGAAAAAUAGAACUUUAAUAAAGAAUUAUCAAGGAUUUCUGAUAAAAAAAAAAAACAAAGCCAGGUAGCCCCCUUGAAAAACAAACAAACAAACAUAGUAGACAAUAAAAGCCUAGAUAUUAAAUGUUGUUCUUGUUCAGUCCUGUUCAGUCUUGUCCUACUUGUGACUACUUUGGGGUUAUCUUGGCAAAUAUAAUAGAGUGGCUUGCCAUUUCCCUUUCCAGCUAAUUUUAUAAGAUGAGGGAACUGAGGCAAACCAUGUAACUGACUUGUACAGCUAGUCUUUGAGGCUGGAUUUGAAUUCAAAUAUUCCUGACUACAGGCUGUUCUAUCCACUGUACCACCUAGCAUCUCAGAUAUAUAAAUAUAUUUUAGCAAUUGAAAGAGUGAUCAAUGGGGCAGCUAG